AUUGAACGCUGGCGGCAGGCCUAACACAUGCAAGUCGAGCGAGCGGCGGACGGGUGUGUAAUGUCUGGGAUACUGCCUGAUGGAGGGGGAUAACUAUUGGAAACGGUAGCUAAUCCCGCAUACCAUCAGAUGUGCCCAGAUGGGAUUAGCUAGUAGGAGGGGGAACGGAUCACCGAGGCGACGAGCCCUAGCGGUUCUGAGAGGAUGACCAGCCACACUGGAACGGAGACACGGUCCAGACUCGGAAGGGAGUCAGCAGUGAGGAAUAUUCGGCAAUGGGCGAAAACCUGAAGGAGCCAUGCGGCGUGUGUGAGGAGGGGCUGCGGUUGGGAAAGCACUUUCAUCAGGGAGGCGUUACCCGCAGAAGAAGCACCGGCUAACUCCGUGCCAGCAGCCGCGGUAAUUC
rnacentral:rRNA from 1 species